rnacentral:lncRNA from 1 species
GGGCCCGGGGAUCGCCUGGGGCUGGGUGGCGGUGCGGGGCAUGGCCAGGGUCCCCGUGGACGUGGCCGCGCAGUUCCGGCGUGUGGCGGAGAGCGAGUGAGCGUGAAGGUCUCCCGGCCUGCAGCAGGCUGCGGAAGCUCUGCGCCGGGAAGUUCUCUGGCGGGGGAGGGGAGAGACGCGUUACGUUUGACAGACCGGUGAAAUUAAAGACACUCAAGCUUCUCAGAGUGAUUUGAAGAAAUGCUCAGCGUUCUGCCGAAAUAUAGUUUUAAGUUUUUAAACCACGGCAUGGUUUUUAAAGGCUGAAGGACCCACAGUUUUUUUCUCUUAAAGGGCACGCAUUCAUUUUGAUUAAUAUUUCUUAACAUGCAGCCAAAGCCAGGACUCGGGCUCACUGCUGCAGGGGUGUCCUCGGGAAGUCCCGAGGGGGGAAAGGCGCGCAAGCCUGAAAUGGAGAUGAAAAUAAACAGGCAUAAUAUUUGCUACCUCACUGCGUUGGGCGUAGUAGUAACUAAUUCUUAAAAAACGUCUUAGAUGACAUAUAAGUAGUAAAGCCGUUGUAUGCUAAUCUAGAAUUUUUGAGAAAAACUUAAUCACCCAAAUGUUUGCUAUAAUGUGAUGAAGAUAGCAUCCAUCGGCAGUAGCCAGGAUCAAAUGACGAGUAGAUAUGGUUAUAAAUGGGGCCCAUGCAGUAUAAUUAGUAUAUGAAACCAAGAUGUCAGUCCUCACACAGAAUUUGUGUAAUGAUAUGCAUUUGGGAGGCUUCAGGCCUUUUCAGCUAUUUGAUACAGGUUGAUUCUUACUGAAUACAGAAUAAUAAAAAAUGAAUUACUGGUC